CUGAAGAAACAACGAACAAAGAA
rnacentral:piRNA from 1 species